CCUACGGGUGGCAGCAGUGGGGAAUAUUGCACAAUGGGGGGAACCCUGAUGCAGCGACGCCGCGUGAGUGAAGAAGUAUUUCGGUAUGUAAAGCUCUAUCUGCAGGGGAGAAAAUGACGGUACCUGACUAAGAAGCCCCGGCUAACUACGUGCCAGCAGCCGCGGUAAUAAGUAGGGGGCCAGCGUUAUACGGAUUUACUGGGUGUAAAGGGAGCGUAGACGGGAGAGCAAGUCUGAAGUGAAAGCCUGGGGGCCAAACGCGGGACUGCGGUGGAAACUGCCCGGCUAGAGUGCGGGAGAGGUAGGCGGAAUGCGUAGUGUAGCGGUGAAAUGCGUAGAUAUUAGGAGGAACACCAGUUGCGAAGGCAGCUUACUGGACAGUAACUGACGUUGAGGCUCGAAAGCGUGGGGAGCGAACAGGAUUAGAUACCCGUGUAGUC
rnacentral:rRNA from 1 species